rnacentral:rRNA from 1 species
AGAAUCAACGCUGGCGGCGUGCCUAACACAUGCAAGUCGAACGCGAAAGGGGCUUCGGCCCUGAGUAGAGUGGCGAACGGGUGAGUAACACGUGGGUGAUCUACCUCUGAGUGGGGGAUAACGUUCCGAAAGGAACGCUAAUACCGCAUGACGUUCUGGGUUUGGAGACCUGGAAACCAAAGCCGGGGACCGCAAGGCCUGGUGCUUGGAGAGGAGCCCGCGCCUGAUUAGCUAGUUGGUGAGGUAAUGGCUCACCAAGGCAACGAUCAGUA